rfam:Triticum aestivum genome assembly, contig: Triticum_aestivum_CS42_TGACv1_scaffold_061453_1DL
AACAUACUCCCUCCGACCGGAAAUAUUUGUCGGAGAAAUGAAAAAACUGGAUGUAUCUAGAACUAAAAUACGUUUAGACACAUUCAUUUUCCGACAAGUAUUUUCGGAAGGAGUGACUACGUU